rnacentral:lncRNA from 1 species
CUUCUUGACUGCUGAUGAAUGUAACUCGCUGCCUCACGAUCCCUCACGAUCCUUCCUGCGGUCUCCUUUCCCUGCCAUGACAUGGCCCCUCUUAAACUACAGUGUCUCAUCAUGCAGCUCAGGCUGCCCUGGAACUCUGUCUGUAGACCAGACUGGUCUCAAAUUCACAGCCACAGGCCUACCUUUGCCUCCUCAAUGCUGGACUCUUUCACAACAAUUAUUUUUUCAUAGUUUUGCUGCUGGAAUCCAACACAUGACCUUGAGCAUGCUAGGGUGGACUACCUUGAGUUGUUGGUCACAAGGAUACAGGCAAUUGCCACUGAUGUUGGUUGCCCACCGGAGCUGGAAGGUGGCGGAUGAUAUCAUAUGCCUUGUUCGCCAGACAUACAGAAACUCAAGCGGAACUGAGCUGGAGGCUUCAUCUCUGCUGGCUCACGUUGCCAGUGGGAGCUAUGCAGGCUGCAGGGGGAGAACUGUCAGCAAUAGUCUCACUCAGCUGUGAAUUCUGGGUGCAAACACUACAGACCAGCCAGAGAUGUGCCUACUUGUACAGUAGGGGCAAGUCUAUUAUGGGGGACAACCCACUGUUUUCUGACCGGGAUUUGAGGCCUGCUCAACACGAGGCAAUUCCUGUCUGAUACUGUACUCUGGUCAAAAGCCCAUGGCUGGGGAGGUCAUAGGCCCUAACGGGGAAGCCACUGAUGUGUUGCCAAAUGAACACAAUGUCCCAUCAAAUUGCCUUCUAAUCAACCACAUUUAUUCCUACAAACUAAUGCUAUGUCAGUUUUGGUUUAAAAAAAAAUGUUCUUCAUGGUAGGUGUGAUGAUUUGAAUAUGCUUGGCCUAGGAGUGGCACUAUUAGGAGGUAUGGCCUUGUUGCAGGAAGUGUGUUGUGGCCAUGGGCUUUAAGACUCUCAUCCUAGCUCCCUGGAAGUCAGUCUUCUCCUAGCAGCCUGCAUACAAAGAUGUAGACCUCUCAGCUCCUCCUGCACCAUGCCUGCCUGGAUGCUGCCAUGCUCCUGCCUUGAUGAUAAUGGACUGAACCUCUAAAUCUGUAAGCCAGCCCCAGUUAAAUGUUGUCCUU